UUUUGUUUUGUUUUGUACAGAUUGAGUUCUGGUUUUCUCCUCACCCUUCUUUUCUUAUGAAGGAAUUAUCAUUAGUGGAGUUUGUUACAGAAAGCAGCGCAUGAGGUUAAUUCUUGUUAAGAAUUAAUUCUUAAUAUUAUUUCUAAGAACUAUGUUGAAAUGGUGAUAUCUGUCAUGUUUAUAUAUUACAUAAUCUUUCAGAAGGCAAAAAAUAAGGCACCAUUUGCAGACAGUGGGAGAGAGACUGACGCUAUCUCAUUCAAACAUGUAAUGAAUAGGCUCUAAACCAACUUCUGGAAGUGGCUGCCUCUUUUCAUCGACUGUGUAGGCCUCUCUUCUGCAUGCACCUUUAUUAACCUCAUUAUACAGUUAAGCCUGCUUAUUUUUGAUGAUAUCUUUGUACUAAAGAAGAUUAGAUAGACUGUCAAACUCUUUUUUUAGAAUUCAAGCAGAACAUAAUUGAGUGAUACAUAACAUUUCUUCUGGAUGAAUGGAAGUCAUGCUAGAGGCCUAGAACAAGGGUCAGAGGGUUGCCCCUGUUCACCUUGAGUAGCAUUUACUGUCACUCUGAGUGAUGCUGCAGUAGUGAAUUAAAUUGGUGUACAAGAACAAGAUAGUAUUGAGAGCUAGAGGGUCUUGAAUCUAAGGUACUGACUAAUAUUUGUGUAAGAAAGCUUAACUGUCGUAGGAAAUGAUGUCCUUCCUCUCCAGGUGACUCAUAGUAUGGGUCAAUUUACUAAUUAAAAAUUCCUUUAAACUUCUUCAUAGACAAACUAGUAAUUGGCCCUCAACAAGUAUAUUCUUCUUGUUUGAAGAUAAAAAGCUUUUGUGAGGAGAGGAAGAUAGAUGCUGUGAUGCCUCUUUAGAACAAUGCAUGUCUCUUUGAAAAGCCAUUCUUCAAUAAUUAAAUAAAAUGUAAAAUUUGCAAAUUUUUGCCAUGACUGACAAUGGCUUAGCAUUUUUCAUUAUACUCUGGUCACAGUCUUUGUGGCAGGGUGUUCUAUUACAGAGCACAGAAACAAAAGGAGAAAAAAACCCAUUGUAUGUCAUUGCUGCCUUCACAAAGCCACAAAUACGUUAAACUCAAGACACUGUUCAUUGUGCUCUUGAGCCACCAGUGACAAAGGUGCUGUGAGUACCACUGGAUAUGAGGGAGUCAUAUGUUAUUACAUCACUGUUCAAAUUGGCACAGCAAAUAGCGUUAAAACAAAUUAAAACGUCAGCAGCUAAAGGAAUGCAAAACAGUAAGAGGCUUGACUGAAUAAAAUACAAUAUAGAAUUUAGAUAUUAUUUUUGUCGUAAGUUAUAAAGUUGAUUUUACCUUUUCCCUGCCUUUUCUUUAUAAUUUACAUUUAAGUUAUUGUCCAUGCCCAUUUCAUGCCCUUGAGGCCAGUUAGCUUUUAUUUUCUUUGACACUUGCAGCAGUGACAGCAGCUUGGUAACAAGCCAGAUGAUGGCACUGGUUGUGUUAACAUAAGAGAUGGGCUUCAGUGUAUCCUGAAAACAGAGUUCACUGUGUUGGAUUUUAUCAGACAGGCUUUCCUGAGUGUGGAACUGGCAGUAAAUUUCGUACUUCUAGAAGGAAGCUCACAACAAAUUGGAUUUGGAUGCAGUGUUCAGCAAUAUUCCUAAUAAUGCCUAUUCUAGUCCUGGCAACCUUUCAGACUGUUUAGAGGGCCUACUGUCUGGUACAAUAUUUUUUUGUUUUUUCUUUCUUUUUUGUAAAUAAAAGCUAUAACCCGGUGGUGGGGGUCCUAGUGACAGGUACAGAAGUAAAGUUAUUGGCUUCAGCAACUGGAAGAAAUGUCUGUUGUGCAACGUGCUAAACUGUGCUGUUUCAAAUACAUAAUAAAAGUUAUUUAUGGACACCAAUAAAGUGGUAUCUGUUGUAUAAUAUCACAGAUAGGCAUAAGGAUGAUAACAAAAGGCAGCUGGUUUAGUAAGCUCUAUUUGCUGCAGAAAUGUGCUGUUCUUUGCGAAUUGAAAUUAAAAAAACAAACAAGGGAGAAGGUUGUGGGUUUUUUUCCCUCUUCCUGUCAUUUGCAAUCAUUCUUGCUUUGCAGUGUACUUUUAAAGAAAAUUCUGUGGGUCCCAUAUCAGUAUUAUAUUUGUCAUGGCUAGCACCUUAGUAGAGGACAGCUGCUCUUCUCUUCCCAGUACAUGUAUGUAACUACCACUGAUGAUAAUAGAAAUUGUGAGUAUAGCCCUCCUCUUCAUUUCAGCAUUUCAUCAUGAGAGAUGCUGGAACUCUCAUGGUUUCAGCUAAAUAAAACCAGGAAUGAAAUAGUGACAGAUCUGCAACUAUUCAGUUGCUUGUUCAGAGUUCAUUGUCUGUAAGGAGGUUUUGAACUUCCAGCAAUUAUUAGGUGGCCUUUUUUAACAGUGUGCGUAAGAAAGGCACUGUCAACAUGCACAACAUCUGAGUGCAUGCUGAGUGUCUUCACUGGAAGGCCAGGUAUUCAGGACCCCAUCAGCCCAAGACCAGUCAGAGGAAGUUUGGUGUGCAGGAGAUAUUUCCAAUUUGUAAGCAUUUUGUGGUAUCUCCUCGGUCUCUGUUUAAUCCCAUCAGGAUUAAAAGAAAAGGACAUACCGACAGAUUUUUCCAAAGAUACUCGGUUGCUGUAAUGAUGCUUUGGCUGCUGUCACUUCUGCUGAGAAAUGGACUGAAUUGGAACAAAGAACAUAGCAAUGGCACAGUGCCAUCAUAAUGCUGUUAAGAACUAAUGUAAACUCAGCUGGAGAAAACCAUUUACAGUGAACAGCAAGGUUUAUUGGCCAUGACAAGCCCAAGAACACAUUCUCAAGAACCACCUCUUGGCAUUUUAGCUGUUGUAAUGUGCUGCAUAUGUAAAUCUGUAAGCACUUGCUUCUCUCGGCUUAAAGCUGCCUGGUGGGCAACCCAGACUGGCCUAGGGAAUGUAAACACAUGCCUCUAUGUUCAUGCAAGUUUCUCUUUUGUUUUUUGUUUGCUUUUCAAAAUUUGAGUAAGCUGGGAAUUCUGCACUACUUGGGGUGACUACUUAGAUUUCUUGGUGAGCACAAGCCCUGACGUUUUUGGGAAGGUGAAAAUUAUUCAUCUUGAAACUGCAGCUUCUAUUCCAGACAGUUUCCUUACUAAUUUCAGGCAAGAUACAAAGCUACAGUGAUGAAUGGAUUGAACAGUUAAUAUUUGACAUUUCCUUUUAUGCUUAUGCCAUUUAAAAAUAGCUGACUUUUGACAAACUGCUAGUACGUUUUUAUAUGAAUUAGAAAACCUAGACUUACAGUAAGUUCACUGCUACCUUUCAUUUUGAGCUCUCUGGAAAAUGGCUGUGCUAAAGGUUCCAGCUGCUUUGAUGUUCAGCAUGAGCACAAUGAUACUAAAUUGGGUGAAGCUGUUGACUCCCUUGAAAGCAGAGGCCCUGCAGAGAGACCUCGACGAAUUAGAGGGCUGGGCACUCACCAGCCGUAUGAAGUUUAACAAGUACCAGUCCAGAUUCUGAACCUAGGAUGGGGCAACCCUGGAUAUAGGUACAGGGUGGGGAACGAGACACUGACGAGCAGCCCCACAGAAAGGGACCUGGGGUCAGUGGCAAGUUGAGCAUGAGCCAGCAGUGCCCUGGCAGCCAGGAGGGCCAAGUGUGUCCUGGGGUGCAUCAGGCACAGCAUCGCCAGCCUGUCCAGGGAGCAGAUUGUCCCACUCUGCUCUGCACUGGGGUGGCCUCGCCUUGAAUAUUGCAUUUUUGGCACUACAGUAUAAGAAGGAUAUAAAUCAAUUAGAGAGCAUCCAAAGGAGGGCAACAAAGAUGGUGAAGGGCCUUGAGCUGAGGCCAUAUGAAAAGCAGCUGAGGUCACUUGGCCUGUUCAGCCUGAAGGAGACUGAGGGGAGACCUCAUAGCAGCUUCCUUCUGAGAGGGGAGCAGGAGCAGCAGGCACUGAUCUCUGGUGACCAGUGACAGGACCAAAGAGAAAGGCAUGAAGCUUGUGUCAGUAGUAAACUUUAAAAACUUUAUUAACUUUUCAUUUUGUAUGAGAUGUAUUAAAGAGUGAAAGCCAGCGAUGCCAACAGGUGCCAGAGGAGCACUUCAGAACAGCCCUCUCUGAGGCAGUUUGGAAGGUAUGUCUCUAAUAAUGAGAUGCCAAUCUCAUUUUUUUGCCUCUAUGGAUUUCAUGAGAACAUGACUCUAAUCUCUGCACCUAGGCCCACCUGCACAAUUUAGGACAAGAUUUUUUCUGCUCUCAUGGCUGUCUCUCUCUCCUGUUGUGCAGACGUACUCAGUGUCCUCCAUGUAAGCUGUGAAUGGUGGCAUCCAGGGGACCAAGCCAUGUUGGCACCCUUCAUACCUCAGUGCAAUGAUAGCCACUGAAUUGCAUUCUUACAGUGUAAAAUUAUUUCACAGUGAAUUAGGUCCAUUUACCCGCAUAAUCCAGCAGGAAGGUGAAGGGGAAAGUUUGUGCUUGUGCAGAGAUCUGAGACCCUUGUACUGCAUUGUCUUUGGUCUUCUUUAGUGGUGUGUUGUAACUUAGAGCUUUUGUCCCAUUUAUCUUGAAGAUGUGAGAUUUGUUAAGGAGUGUGCUGAGACAUGCUUGCUGAGGGAAGGAAUGAUUAAUCUUCCAGGAGUGUUUCCAUAUAAAGUGUCAAAUUACAUUUAUGAGGAACCUCUACAUCAUAGCCAUCCUAGGACUUGUAUAAGGUCACUAUACAAACACAGCCACCGAAAUCUCUUUAGAACAUCAAAUUUGAUAGAGAUAAAAUGUGCUUAGUGAUUUUUUUUUAAAGGUCAAAAAGGUAAAGAUCGUGUAUUUACUUCAAUUGAAAUUCAGCAGGUCUUAGGUUAAAGUGAGGGAUAAGGAAAAUAAAUCUCUGGAAUUAUGUUAUACUUGACAGAAUAUUGAUCAAUAAUGGUCUCAGCAGGAGCUGAUGGUGAGCUGAAAAUUUGAUUACAAAUUUACGUAAAUAUUUCUGACUGGCACAUCUUGUGCAUAGUUGUACAUAGCUUUACCCUAGAUUUUUGUUUCACACUUUGUCUCCACGUUAAUACUUUAGGAAUGUUAGACUAUCCUUAUUUUUGAUUAAAAACGUGUUAGAAAAUUCUGCAGUGUAAAAAAAUAAAUAUUUGCAUGGACAUUAUUAGCUUACUAAUUUUUUUGAAGAAUGUUUUACACUGUAGUGGUUAUACUGGAUACCCCACAGACUGAGUACUGCUACUGUAAGGAAGUUGGCCUUGGAAAAGGAAAUUUUCAAAAAUGAUCGGUAGGAAGAUGCAUCUGUGGAGUCCUUCUAAGGAGAGUGCUCAUACUUGAAAUAUAUCAUACAGGGUGGAUCAUCCCAGUCUUUCACUAGUCAGCUAAAUCACAGAAUGGUUGGGUUGAAGAGAUCUCUGGAGAUGAUCUCUCCAUCUGCAUAGUCCAACCCUCCUGCUAAAGCAGCCUCACCUAGAGCAGCUUGCACAGGAUCAUAUUUAGGCGGGGUUUCAUAAUCUCUCCGGGCUGCCUGUUCCAGUGCUCUGACACCCUCAAAGUAAAGAAGUUUUUCUUCAUGUUCAGGUGGAACUUUGUAUAUUUCAGUUUGUUCAUGUUGCCCCUUGUCCUGUCACUGAGCAUCACUGAAAAGAGGCAGGCCCCAUCUUGACAAGCACAUGGUCUGCCAUAACCAGUUUUUUUUAAAGUUAUAUUAUCUCCUUAUGGAUCAGCAGAAUACAUCAAGGAAAAAACAAACAAAAAAGAGGCUGUUCACUGUUUCUUGAGGUUUACUCAUGCAAUAAGAUGGAUGUAAAUUAUUUGCAAACAGGAAAACUGUAAAAUAGAGUUAAUAAAGUUCAUCUCCUCAUAAUAGUGUCUGAGUCUCUGCUUUCCAAGAGCUGACAUGCACUAAUGGAGUAUGCAACUGUGGGUUUUUUCCAUAUCCUCCUUUUGUCACUGUUCAUAUCUUUUCACUACUCAAGUCCUACUUGUUUUGCUUCCUUGAAAUGUCUUGGAAUGAAGAAAAAUUACAUAGAGCCACUUCUUAGUUGGUAUUUUUUUAUAUUAGCUUGCCUUCUGCUGCUGCCAUGAGCUAUAAGCUAAGCUAUAUAAACAGCAAGGAUUGCUUACUUAGUAGCUACUAAUAAAUAUGAAAUAUUUCUGGAUGGAAUCACUCUUUCUGGUUCUUUCAUAGGUUACUGAGCCUGCAUGAAUUUUCUUGGUUGCAGUCAGUCAAUGAUCUAUUUGGUGACAAAGCAAUGUGUAGCCAAAUACACCCGU